rnacentral:rRNA from 1 species
UCGAGAAUAUUUAGCAAUGGGCGAAAGCCUGACUAUGCGACGCCGCGUGAGGGAUGAAGGUCUUCGGAUUGUAAACCUCUUUUGUCAGGAAAGAAAAUUUCAAGACUAACACUCUUGAAACUGACGGUACUUGACGAAUAAGCCACGGCCAACUCUGUGCCAGCAGCCGCGGUAAUACAGAGGUGGCAAGCGUUACUCGGAAUCAUUGGGUGUAAAGGGCAAGUAGGCGGUCUAGUAUGUGAGGGGUGAAAUCUUCCGAUUCAAUCGGAAAACUGCCUUUCAAACUGAUAGACUUGAGGUAGGGAGGGGGAAAUGGAAUUCUCGGUGUAAGGGUGAAAUCUGUAGAUAUCGAGAAGAACACCGGCGGCGAAGGCGAUUUCCUGGCCCUACCCUGACGCUAAAUUGCGAAAGCUAGGGGAGCAAACA